rnacentral:tRNA from 1 species
AGGGCUAUAGCCAAGCGGUAAGGCAACGGACUUUGACUCCGUCACUCCGAUGGUUCGAAUCCAUCUAGCCCUA